GUAGGUGGCAAGCGUUGUCCGGGAAUUAUUGGGGCGUAAAGCGCGCGCAGGCGGUUCUUUAAGUCUGAUGUGAAAGCCCACGGGCUCAACCGUGGAGGGUCAUUGGAAACUGGAGAACUUGAGUACAGAAGAGGAAAGCGGAAUUCCACGUGUAGCGGUGAAAUGCGUAGAGAUGUCGGAGGAACACCAGUGGCGAAGGCGGCUUUCUGGUCUGUAACUGACGCUGAGGCGCGAAAGCGUGGGGAGCAAACAGGAUUAGAUACCCUGGUAGUCCACGCCGUAAACGAUGAGUGCUAAGUGUUAGGGGGUUUCCGCCCCUUAGUGCUGCAGCUAACGCAUUAAGCACUCCGCCUGGGGAGUACGGCCGCAAAGGCUGA
rnacentral:rRNA from 1 species